GAUCAUGGCUCAGGAUGAACGCUAGCUACAGGCUUAACACAUGCAAGUCGAGGGGCAGCGGGAUUGAAGCUUGCUUCAAUUGCCGGCGGCCGGCGCACGGGUGAGUAACGCGUAUCCAACCUUCCGUACACUCAGGGAUAGCCUUUCGAAAGAAAGAUUAAUACCUGAUGGUAUGAUGAGAUUGCAUGAUAUCAUCAUUAAGGAUUUAUCGGUGUACGAUGGGGA
rnacentral:rRNA from 1 species